CGGCAACAGCUCAAAUUUGAAAUCUGGCGCAAGCCCGAGUUGUAAUUUGUAGAGGAUGCUUCUGGGUAGCGGCCGGUCUAAGUUCCUUGGAACAGGACGUCAUAGAGGGUGAGAAUCCCGUAUGUGACUGGCUUGCACCCUCCACGUAGCUCCUUCGACGAGUCGAGUUGUUUGGGAAUGCAGCUCUAAAUGGGAGGUAAAUUUCUUCUAAAGCUAAAUACCGGCCAGAGACCGAUAGCGCACAAGUAGAGUGAUCGAAAGAUGAAAAGCACUUUGGAAAGAGAGUUAAAAAGCACGUGAAAUUGUUGAAAGGGAAGCGCCCGCAACCAGACUUUGCGGCAGUGUUCGGCCGGUCUUCUGACCGGUUUACUCGCUGUCGUGAGGCCAUCAUCGUCUGGGACCGCUGGAUAAGACCUUAGGAAUGUAGCUCCCCUCGGGGAGUGUUAUAGCCUCUGGUGAUGCAGCGCGUCUCGGGCGAGGUCCGCGCUUCGGCAAGGAUGAUGGCGUAAUGGUUGUCGGCGGCCCGUCUUGAAACACGGACCAAGGAGUCUAACAUCUAUGCGAGUGUUCGGGUGUCAAACCCCUACGCGUAAUGAAAGUGAACGGAGGUGGGAACUUUUUGUGCACCAUCGACCGAUCCUGAUGUCCUCGGAUGGAUUUGAGUAAGAGCAUAGCUGUUGGGACCCGAAAGAUGGUGAACUAUGCCUGAAUAGGGUGAAGCCAGAGGAAACUCUGG
rnacentral:rRNA from 1 species